rnacentral:ncRNA from 1 species
CACCGGGGACGGCCCCGGCAUGCGAUCGUCAAUGUGCGGGACGGCCCGC